rnacentral:rRNA from 1 species
UGGAGGGCAAGUCUGGUGCCAGCAGCCGCGGUAAUUCCAGCUCCAAUAGCGUAUAUUAAAGUUGUUGCAGUUAAAAAGCUCGUAGUUGAAUUUCGGGAUCAAUAUGUCGGUCGUGCCUUCGGUACGUACUGGUAUCAUUGGUCUCUCCUUUCUGACGAACCAUGAUGUCAUUAAUUUGGUGUUAUGGGGAGUUAGGACUGUUACUUUGAAAAAUUAGAGUGUUUAAAGCAGGCUUUAGCUUGAAUACAUUAGCAUGGAAUAAUGAAAUAGGACGUUCGAACCUAUUUUGUUGGUUUCUAGGAUCAACGUAAUGAUUAAUAGGGAUAGUUGGGGGCAUUAGUAUUCAAUUGUCAGAGGUGAAAUUCUUGGAUUUAUUGAAGACUAACUACUGCGAAAGCAUUUGCCAAGGAUGUUUUCAUUAAUCAAGAACGAAAGUUAGGGGAUCGAAGACGAUCAGAUACCGUCGUAGUCUUAACCAUAAACUAUGCCGACUAGGGAUCGGAUGAUGUUAAUUUUUUAAUGACUCAUUCGGCGCCUUACGGGAAAC